UACGAAGGGGGCUAGCGUUGCUCGGAAUCACUGGGCGUAAAGCGCACGUAGGCGGAUCCUUAAGUCGGGGGUGAAAUCCUGGAGCUCAACUCCAGAACUGCCUUCGAUACUGAGGAUCUCGAGUCCGGGAGAGGUGAGUGGAACUGCGAGUGUAGAGUUGAAAUUCGUAGAUAUUCGCAAGAACACCAGUGGCGAAGGCGGCUCACUGGCCCGGUACUGACGCUGAGGUGCGAAAGCGUGGGGAGCAAACAGG
rnacentral:rRNA from 1 species